rnacentral:rRNA from 1 species
UACAGAGGUCUCAAGCGUUGUUCGGAUUCAUUGGGCGUAAAGGGUGCGUAGGCGGCGGGGCAAGUCUGGUGUGAAAUCCCGGGGCUCAACCCUGGAACUGCACUGGAUACUGCUUUGCUGGAGCGCUGGAAAGGGAACUGGAAUUUACGGUGUAGCAGUGAAAUGCGUAGAGAUCGUAAGGAAGACCAGUGGCGAAGGCGAGUUCCUGGACAGUUGCUGACGCUGAGGCACGAAGGCCAGGGGAGCAAACGGG